UCGAAUUAUCACGUGUAUUCA
rnacentral:piRNA from 1 species